rnacentral:sRNA from 1 species
GUAGUCGCGGUCGAGAACUGUAGUCGAAACUUCGAUCGUGAGGCGACCACCAUUCGGCAUUGCGUCGCGCGCGUUCAGACCCAAGUUCAAUACAGUGUUCUGAAGCUGAGAGACGUCGAUUAGGGCGAGGUUCGCGCUGCCUUUCACGACGGUGGAUAGUUCU